GGAGUCUGGGCCGUGUCUCAGUCCCAAUGUGGCCGUCCGCCCUCUCAGGCCGGCUACUGAUCGUCGCUUUGGUAGGCCGUUACCCUGCCAACUGGCUAAUCAGACGCGGGCCCAUCCUGUACUGAUAAAUCUUUUCACACUGCACCAUGCGGUGCCGUGCGCUUAUGCGGUAUUAGCAGCCGUUUCCAGCUGUUGUCCCCCGGUACAGGGCAGGUUGCC
rnacentral:rRNA from 1 species